GACGAACGCUGGCGGCGUGCUUAACACAUGCAAGUCGAGCGGUAAGGCCCUUCGGGGUACACGAGCGGCGAACGGGUGAGUAACACGUGGGUGACCUGCCUCUAGCUCUGGGAUAAGCCUGGGAAACUGGGUCUAAUACCGGAUAUGACUCCACGGCGCAUGUUGUGGGGUGGAAAGCCUUGUGUGGCUAGAGAUGGGCCCGCGGCCUAUCAGCUUGUUGGUGGGGUGAUGGCCUACCAAGGCGACGACGGGUAGCCGGCCUGAGAGGGCGACCGGCCACACUGGGACUGAGACACGGCCCAGACUCCUACGGGAGGCAGCAGUGGGGAAUCUUGCGCAAUGGGCGAAAAGCCUGACGCAGCGACGCCGCGUGAGGGAUGACGGCCU
rnacentral:rRNA from 1 species